UACAGAGGUCUCAACCGUUGUUCGGAUUUAUUGGGCGUAAAGGGUACGUAGGCGGUCGCGUAAGUCAGGUGUGAAAUCCCAGGGCUCAACCCUGGAACUGCACUUGAUACUGCGUGGCUAGGGUACUGGAGAGGAGACUGGAAUUUACGGUGUAGCAGUGAAAUGCGUAGAUAUCGUAAGGAAGACCAGUGGCGAAGGCGAGUCUCUGGACAGUUACCGACGCUGAGGCACGAAGGCCAGGGGAGCAAACGGG
rnacentral:rRNA from 1 species